CAGGUGUGCCCAGGUGUGCCCAGGUGCCCCCAGGUGUGCCCAGGUGUAUCUCAGGUGUAUCCCAGGUGUGCCCAGGUGCCCCCAGGUGUGCCCAGGUGAGCCCAAGUGUAUCCCAGGUGUAUCCCAGGUGUG